UACGGGGGGGGCAAGCGUUGUUCGGAAUUACUGGGCGUAAAGGGCUUGUAGGUGGCCAACUAAGUCAGACGUGAAAUCCCUCGGCUUAACCGGGGAACUGCGUCUGAUACUGGAUGGCUUGAGUUUGGGAGAGGGAUGCGGAAUUCCAGGUGUAGCGGUGAAAUGCGUAGAUAUCUGGAGGAACACCGGUGGCGAAGGCGGCAUCCUGGACCAAUACUGACACUGAGGAGCGAAAGCGUGGGGAGCGAACAGG
rnacentral:rRNA from 1 species